CAUACAUCAUUUUUUUACCAAGGUCAAAGGUGUGUGGCUUUCUGGAAACAUCCUUUUGGGAUUCUGGGAUAUGAACUGUAAACCAAACGCUUAUCAAGGAUUGCCAAUUCAAAAGCAGUUUAUAGUAUUAAUCUGAGAAAUUGCAGGACUUUGUAGAAUAACUUCCAGAGCGAGAAAUAGUGAGUAUUUGUGCUGAGCAGGGCAGGAAUCUCCCCGGCGGCCACGACUGCCAUGGCCGUCGUCGCCCCGCUAUCUGGCCGUGAUGCCCUUCUGAAAAUCGUAUGCCCAGAGGCAGUGGCGGUUUUAGGUACGGGCGAACCAGGCAGCCGCCCGGGGCGGCAUAUUUGUGGGGGGCGCCAAAUCACAUGGGGGGCGCCACGAGCGGCGCACACCUGCUCGUUGAGAAGUUGCCGUGCACAGACGGAAUGAAACCCCCACUGAAGUCCGUAGGUUCUCCCCCCCCCCCCCCCUGCUUGGAAGAAGUUUUGCCCGGGGCGUAAAUGGACGUAGAACCACCACUGCCCAGAGGGAGGGUUAUUGUCAUUUUUUUGUAAUCAUUAUUAUAAUGUGUAAUUAAAAAUACAUAUAUUAUUUAUGGCAAAUUCUAAUCUUAUAGACAAUAAUAAAGUUUUAACGUUUAACAAAAUUCAACAAAUUCACUCAAAUUAUUUUCUUUUUCAAAAAGAAGUGGAGAAUUAUUGCAAAAGGGCUCUUCAAGAUGCAGAUAAAAACUGCAAAAAAAUGAACAAUUUCUGUAGAAGUGUUACGCUGUUUAGUAAAAAGGUGUUAAUGCUUUUAGAAAUGUAUUUGUCUAUUUAAGUUAAAUCUAAAUCAUGUUUUUUAACUUAAGGUCUUGAUGCCCUGGCAUGUGGCCUUUAUGCCCCAAAAGAAUUGCCCCGCUGCAAGCCAAGUGGCCUUGCCCCUAAAAUCACGAAAUUCCAGGCCUAGU